rnacentral:rRNA from 1 species
AGUAAUGUCUGGGAAACUGCCUGAGGGAGGGGGAUAACUACUGGAAACGGUAGCUAAUACCGCAUAAUGUCGCAAGACCAAAGUGGGGGACCUUCGGGCCUCAUGCCAUCGGAUGUGCCCAGAUGGGAUUAGCUAGUAGGUGGGGUAACGGCUCACCUAGGCGACGAUCCCUAGCUGGUCUGAGAGGAUGACCAGCCACACUGGAACUGAGACACGGUCCAG